CACGUAGGGCGCGAGCGUUGUCCGGAAUUACUGGGCGUAAAGCGCGCGCAGGCGGUCCUUUAAGUCAGGGGUGAAAGCCCAGAGCUCAACUCUGGAACUGCCUUUGAAACUAGAGGACUUGGGUACGGGAGAGGUGAGUGGAAUUCCGAGUGUAGAGGUGAAAUUCGUAGAUAUUCGGAAGAACACCAGUGGCGAAGGCGGCUCACUGGCCCGUUACCGACGCUCAGGCGCGACAGCGUGGGGAGCAAACAGG
rnacentral:rRNA from 1 species